UUUUAAAACNCAUUGGAUUCCCCUAGUAACUGCGAGUGAAGCGGGAAAAGCUCAAAUUUAAAAUCUGGCGGUCUUAUGGCCGUCCGAGUUGUAAUCUGGAGAAGUGUUUUCCGCGUCGGACCGUGUACAAGUCUCCUGGAACGGAGCGUCAUAGAGGGUGAGAAUCCCGUCCAUGACACGGACCGCCGAUGCUUUGUGAUACACUCUCGAAGAGUCGAGUUGUUUGGGAAUGCAGCUCAAAAUGGGUGGUAAAUUCCAUCUAAAGCUAAAUAUUGGCGAGAGACCGAUAGCGAACAAGUACCGUGAGGGAAAGAUGAAAAGCACUUUGGAAAGAGAGUUAAACAGUACGUGAAAUUGUUGAAAGGGAAACGCUUGAAGUCAGUCGCGUCUUUCAGAACUCAGCCUUGCUUCGGCCUGGUGUACUUUCUGUUAGACGGGUCAACGUCAAUUUCGAUCGGCGGAGAAAGGUUGAGGGAAUGUAGCGUUGUUUCGGCGACGUGUUAUAGCCCUCUUCUGUAUACGUCGGCUGGGAUUGAGGACCGCAGCGCGCCUUUAUGGCCAGGGGGUCGCCCCAUGUAAAAGCUUAGGANGNGGCNUACAACGGGACUGAAA
rnacentral:rRNA from 1 species